rnacentral:rRNA from 1 species
UACGAAGGGGGCUAGCGUUGUUCGGAAUUAUUGGGCAUAAAGAGCUCGUAGGCGGUCUGUCGCGUCUGCUGUGAAAACUCAGGGCUUAACCCUGAGCUUGCAGUGGGUACGGGCAGACUAGAGUGCGGUAGGGGAGACUGGAAUUCCUGGUGUAGCGGUGAAAUGCGCAGAUAUCAGGAGGAACACCGGUGGCGAAGGCGGGUCUCUGGGCCGUAACUGACGCUGAGGAGCGAAAGCAUGGGGAGCGAACAGG